CCUACGGGUGGCAGCAGUGGGGGAUAUUGCACAAUGGGGGAAACUCUGAUGCAGCGACGCCGCGUGUGGGAAGACGGUCCUCUGGAUUGUAAACCACUGUCGCCAGGGACGAAGAUGACGGUACCUGGGGAGGAAGCUCCGGCUAACUACGUGCCAGCAGCCGCGGUACUACGUAGGGAGCGCGCGUUGUCCGGAAUUACUGGGUGUAAAGGGAGCGUAGGCGAGACUGCAAGUUGGGUGUAAAAUCUACCGGUUCAACCGGUAGCCGCACUCAAAACUGCAGUUCUUGAGUGAAGUAGAGGCAGGCGGAAUUCAUAGUGUAGCGGUGAAAUGCGUAGAUAUUAGGAAGAACACCAGUGGCGAAGGCAGCCUGCUGAGCUUUUACUGACGCUGAGGCUCGAAAGUGUGGGGAGCAAACAGGAUUAGAUACCCGGGUAGUC
rnacentral:rRNA from 1 species